AUUGUGAAUUUAAAAACCACUGGUAUCUACUACUGAUACAGCUCUGCGUGUAAUAAUAUUUUUAUAUUAAGUAUACAAUUAAUAGUUGCCACGCAUUUAUUUACUUCAGUACUUGCACUAAUAACAGCACUGGGUUAAUGACCAUAGAGAAAUUUCUGCUAAAAGAAAUAACUUCAGAUAAAUUGUUUAAAAAAAGAAAGAGAAAAGCUAUAUAUGAGAAUUGAAAAAUGUUUAACGAGAUUAUUUUGUAUAAUCAUUUUACUUUUAUGGU